rnacentral:rRNA from 1 species
CGCCUUCAUGAAGCCGGAAUUGCUAGUAAUGGCAGGUCAGCAUACUGCCGUGAAUACGUUCCCCGGGGCCUUGUACACACCGCCCGUCACACCAUGAGAGUUGGGAAUACCCGAAGCCUGUGAGCCAACUGUAAAGAGGCAGCAGUCGAAGGUAGAAUCAAUGAUUGGGGUGAAGUCGUAACAAGGUAGC